GACGAACGCUGGCGGCGUGCCUAAUACAUGCAAGUUGAGCGCUGAAGGUUGGUACUUGUACCAACUGGAUGAGCAGCGAACGGGUGAGUAACGCGUGGGGAAUCUGCCUUUGAGCGGGGGACAACAUUUGGAAACGAAUGCUAAUACCACAUAAAAACUUUAAACACAAGUUUUAAGUUUGAAAGAUGCAAUUGCAUCACUCAAAGAUGAUCCCGCGUUGUAUUAGCUAGUUGGUGAGGUAAAGGCUCACCAAGGCGAUGAUACAUAGCUGACCUGAGAGGGUGAUCGGCCACAUUGGGACUGAGACACGGCCCAAACUCCUACGGGAGGCAGCAGUAGGGAAUCUUCGGCAAUGGACGAAAGUCUGACCGAGCAACGCCGCGUGAGUGAAGAAGGUUUUCGGAUCGUAAAACUCUGUUGGUAGAGAAGAACGUUGGUGAGAGUGGAAAGCUCAUCAAGUGACGGUAACUACCCAGAAAGGGACGGCUAACUACGUG
rnacentral:rRNA from 1 species